UUCUCAAACUUAUCCAAAAAUUGACGGUA
rnacentral:sRNA from 1 species